rnacentral:rRNA from 1 species
GACGAACGCUGGCGGCGUGCUUAACACAUGCAAGUCGAACGGAAAGGCCCCCACCUUGGUGGGGGUGCUCGAGUGGCGAACGGGUGAGUAACACGUGGGUGAUCUGCCCUGUACUUCGGGAUAAGCUUGGGAAACUGGGUCUAAUACCGGAUAGGACCAUGGUUUAGUGUCUCAUGGUGGAAAAAUUAUUGUUUUGGUGCAGGAUGAGCUCGCGGCCUAUCAGCUUGUUGGUGGGGUAAUGGCCUACCAAGGCGUCGACGGGUAGCCGGCCUGAGAGGGUGGACGGCCACAUUGGGACUGAGAUACGGCCCAGACUCCUACGGGAGGCAGCAGUGGGGAAUAUUGCACAAUGGGGCGCAAAGCCCUGAUGCAGCGACGCCGCGUGGGGGAAUGACGGCCCUUUCGGGUUGUAAAACUCCCUU